CAGCAGCCGCGGGAACACGUAGGGGGCAAGCGUUAUCCGGAAUAACUGGGCGUAAAGGGUGCGCAGGUGGUUUAACAAGUUAGUGGUGAAAGGCAUAGGCUCAACCAAUGUAAGCCAUUAAAACUGUUUAACUUGAGUGCAGGAGAGGAAAGUGGGAUUCCUAGUGUAGCGGUGAAAUGCGUAGAUAUUAGGAGGAAUACCAGUGGCGAAGGCGACUUUCUGGACUGCAACUGACACUGAGGCACGAAAGCGUGGGGAGCAAACAGGAUUAGAUACCCCAGUAGUCCCUGUCUCUUAUACA
rnacentral:rRNA from 1 species